CAUUAAGAAGCUAUGGAACAGCGCUAGCCUUUUAAGCUGGAGAAAGAGGAUCCACCCCUCCUUAAUGG
rnacentral:tRNA from 1 species